rnacentral:misc_RNA from 1 species
GGAAGUAAAAGUCGAACAAGGUUUCCGUAGGUGAACCUGCGGAAGGAUCAUUAUUGAAACUUCAUCCGGGGCGCCGCAGCCCUCAGCACCGGUGGAAACGCCGUGCUGCGGGGGCCGCGCGUGCACUCGUCCAAACCAAACCCCUGUGAACCUUACGGGAUGGCCCGGGUUAGCGCCCGGUGCCGUUCCGCUUUAUACAAACACUUAUCAAAGAAUGAACUGAAGGCGGUCUGACCGCUGGAUAACAAACUGAAACAACUUUCAACAACGGAUCUCUUGGCUCUC